rnacentral:rRNA from 1 species
CCUUGACCUCAAAUCGGGUGAGACUACCCGCUGAACUUAAGCAUAUCAAUAA